rnacentral:rRNA from 1 species
UACGUAGGUGGCAAGCGUUGUCCGGAUUUACUGGGCGUAAAGGGCGCGUAGGCGGCCUGGCAAGUGGAUGGUGAAAUCCCUCGGCUUAACCGAGGAACUGCCAUCCAGACUGCUUGGCUUGAGACCGGGAGAGGUGAGUGGAAUUCCCAGUGUAGCGGUGAAAUGCGUAGAUAUUGGGAGGAACACCAGUGGCGAAGGCGGCUCACUGGACCGGUACUGACGCUGAGGCGCGAAAGCGUGGGGAGCAAACGGG